UACGUAGGGCGCAAGCGUUAUCCGGAAUUAUUGGGCGUAAAGAGCUCGUAGGCGGUUUGUCGCGUCUGCCGUGAAAGUCCGGGGCUCGACUCCGGAUCUGCGGUGGGUACGGGCAGACUAGAGUGAUGUAGGGGAGACUGGAAUUCCUGGUGUAGCGGUGAAAUGCGCAGAUAUCAGGAGGAACACCGAUGGCGAAGGCAGGUCUCUGGGCAUUAACUGACGCUGAGGAGCGAAAGCAUGGGGAGCGAACAGG
rnacentral:rRNA from 1 species